CAUGCUGUGAGCUCGAUGAGUAGGGCGGGACACGUGGUAUCCUGUCUGAAUAUGGGGGGACCAUCCUCCAAGGCUAAAUACUCCUGACUGACCGAUAGUGAACCAGUACCGUGAGGGAAAGGCGAAAAGAACCCCGGCGAGGGGAGUGAAAAAGAACCUGAAACCGUGUACGUACAAGCAGUGGGAGCACGCUUAGGCGUGUGACUGCGUACCUUUUGUAUAAUGGGUCAGCGACUUAUAUUCUGUAGCAAGGUUAACCGAAUAGGGGAGCCGAAGGGAAACCGAGUCUUAACUGGGCGUUAAGUUGCAGGGUAUAGACCCGAAACCCGGUGAUCUAGCCAUGGGCAGGUUGAAGGUUGGGUAACACUAACUGGAGGACCGAACCGACUAAUGUUGAAAAAUUAGCGGAUGACUUGUGGCUGGGGGUGAAAGGCCAAUCAAACCGGGAGAUAGCUGGUUCUCCCCGAAAGCUAUUUAGGUAGCGCCUCGUGAAUUCAUCUCCGGGGGUAGAGCACUGUUUCGGCAAGGGGGUCAUCCCGACUUACCAACCCGAUGCAAACUGCGAAUACCGGAGAAUGUUAUCACGGGAGACACACGGCGGGUGCUAACGUCCGUCGUGAAGAGGGAAACAACCCAGACCGCCAGCUAAGGUCCCAAAGUCAUGGUUAAGUGGGAAACGAUGUGGGAAGGCCCAGACAGCCAGGAUGUUGGCUUAGAAGCAGCCAUCAUUUAAAGAAAGCGUAAUAGCUCACUGGUCGAG
rnacentral:rRNA from 1 species